CCUCAGCCUCCCAAGUAGCUGAGAUUACAGGCAUGCACCACGCCUGGCUACUUUUUUGUAUUUUUAGUGGAGAUGGAGUUUUGCCAUGUUGGCCAGGCAGGUCUCGAACUCCUGACCUCAGGUGAUCUGCCUGCCUUGGCCUCCCAAAGUGCUGAGAUUACAGGCAUGAGCCACAGCGCACAGCCGCAUCUCAAUUUUUUGCAGGUUACAGCCCAGCCUAUUUAGGAAGCUGUUCAAGACCCUCCACCCUUACCCUUCCCUUACUCUGCUGAUAUUUGAUGUCACCAUCUCUCGAUACCAGCUUGCACAGAACUGGAGCCAGUUUCCUUCCUGUGUUCCAGCCUUGCUAUUCUUUUACCUACCUCGAAAGUCUCUUCACUCAUUUGAUAAUGUGCAUUCUAUCCAACUGAAGUUCUGACUCCAUUUUUAUUUGAUUUAAUAUACUUUUUAGGCCGGGCGCGGUGGCUCAUGCCUGUAAUCCCAGCACUUUGGGAGGCCGAGGCAGGCGGAUCACGAGAUCAGGAGAUCAAGACCAUCCUGGCUAACAUGUCACCAUGGAGCAACCAGGGCCGCAUUUACCCUUCCACCUGAAACAACAGCAACCACAAAAAACAGACAUAAUAUACAAAACAUUGGUUUUCAAGAUGCUGGACAUCAGGUAAUGAAGGACAGUGACUCCUGUGAGAUAGGAGGGAAAUGAGCUGACCCUACAAUUGCCUCAGCCUGUGAGGGUUCCCAGGCCAGGGCACAGGCAAGAGAGACUGAGGCAGAGCCCAGGGGAUUCCCUGGGUCAGGGAGACGGAGCUGAGAAUGGAGAAAGGCCACAGGGACUAAAGUUCUUGGGGCAAAGUCCCAAAGAAGAGAGAGCUGCGUGGAGAGAGGGAGAGAGCUCAGAGAUCUGCAGAGGGUCUUCCUGAGCCUUCACUGAGUGCUGAGCAGUGCGGAUGUGCCAGGGAACGAUCAGACGCUGGGGACAGAACCACCCAACAGAAUUCAAGAUAAGAGUGCUCAGUGCUGACACGGGACCAGGACCAGGGUCUGUUUCCACCAGCCAGAGCAGAAGCCUGAAGAGUCCCAGACACCAGGGAGGCUUCCCAGAAGAAACUAGCCUCAGCAGUGAGGAAUAAUUAGCCUAGACUGAGCACAGCGCCAGAAUCCCCCACCAAAUCAUGACAGCAACCCGAAGGGAUUGAACUGUUUCCAACAAACUUAACUGCAUCGCAGAACAAAGCACACAAUUAUUUAUAGGAACACAAACAUAUCCAGCACCCAGCGAAGUAAAAUUCAUGGUGUCUGACAUCCAAUAAAAAAUAACCAGUCAUGCAAAGAAGGAAAAUAUGACCCAUAGUAAGGAGAUAAAUACAUCAAUCAAAACUGACAUAGAACUGACACAGAAGCCAGGAUUAGCAGACAAGGACAUUAAAACAGUUAUUAUAACUGUGUUCCAUAUGUUCAAAAAGUCAAGGAGAGACAUAUUUGCCUUUUUGCUUUUUUUCUCUGCUGAAUAAUUCUGUCCAAAAACUAAGAUCACGGAGGCUCAAGUCGAUCUGCCUGGUUCAAUUUCCAGCUCUGAGACUUACAGGCUCUCAUACAGUGUAGCCGGGGCUGGGGCUGGACACAGUGUCUGAGCUCUGGCAGGGUGAGGAGGUGCAGGUAUUAGGAGACAGAGCACACACCCAAGCGUGGCCUGAUUCAAAAAGGAAACAUGGAGAAGUUACAGCUGGAAGUUUGUCCAUCAGAGGCUCCUGAUCUAAUGCACCUGAGAAGCUUUGGGGAAGGUGAGGCUUCACCUCAGCACUUUUAUUUCCAGGGAUGGGACUCACUACCUACCACCCUCCUCCAUCUGACUAGUCCCUAUAGGAGUGCC
rnacentral:lncRNA from 1 species